CCUACGGGAGGCAGCAGUGGGGAAUCUUGCGCAAUGAGCGAAAGCCUGACGCAGCCAUGCCGCGUGAAUGAUGAAGGUCUUAGGAUUGUAAAAUUCUUUCACCGGGGACGAUAAUGACGGUACCCGGAGAAGAAGCCCCGGCUAACUUCGUGCCAGCAGCCGCGGUAAUACGAAGGGGGCUAGCGUUGCUCGGAAUUACUGGGCGUAAAGGGAGCGUAGGCGGAUAGUUUAGUCAGAGGUGAAAGCCCAGGGCUCAACCUUGGAAUUGCCUUUGAUACUGGCUAUCUUGAGUGUGGGAGAGGUAUGUGGAACUCCGAGUGUAGAGGUGAAAUUCGUAGAUAUUCGGAAGAACACCAGUGGCGAAGGCGACAUACUGGCCCAUUACUGACGCUGAGGCUCGAAAGCGUGGGGAGCAAACAGGAUUAGAUACCCUGGUAGUCCACGCUGUAAACGAUGAGUGCUAGUUGUCGGCAGCAUGCUGUCGGUGACGCAGCUACGACAUAAGUCGACGUCCGCCGUCGGGAGGUACGGUCGGCGAAGAAGUUAAACGUUAAAGUUAGUUAAGUUAGUUACGGCGUGAGACGUUCGCCGACGGACGACGACGAGGGGAGGUUAGG
rnacentral:rRNA from 1 species